rnacentral:ncRNA from 1 species
CUCCAUGGGGUGCCCUUCCGGGCUGAGAGGCCGAACCGGCCAACCCAUCGAACCUGAACCGGAUCAUACCGGCGGAGGGAUGGAU